AAAGUCGGGAGGUUAAGCUAAUCCCUUAAAAGCCAUCUCAGUUCGGAUUGUACUCUGCAACUCGAGUGCAUGAAGUUGGAAUCGCUAGUAAUCGUGGAUCAGCACGCCACGGUGAAUACGU
rnacentral:rRNA from 1 species